rnacentral:rRNA from 3 species
AAAUUGAAGAGUUUGAUCAUGGCUCAGAUUGAACGCUGGCGGCAGGCCUAACACAUGCAAGUCGAACGGUAACAGGAAGCAGCUUGCUGCUUUGCUGACGAGUGGCGGACGGGUGAGUAAUGUCUGGGAAACUGCCUGAUGGAGGGGGAUAACUACUGGAAACGGUGGCUAAUACCGCAUAACGUCGCAAGACCAAAGAGGGGGACCUUCGGGCCUCUUGCCAUCAGAUGUGCCCAGAUGGGAUUAGCUAGUUGGUGAGGUAACGGCUCACCAAGGCGACGAUCCCUAGCUGGUCUGAGAGGAUGACCAGCCACACUGGAACUGAGACACGGUCCAGACUCCUACGGGAGGCAGCAGUGGGGAAUAUUGCACAAUGGGCGCAAGCCUGAUGCAGCCAUGCCGCGUGUAUGAAGAAGGCCUUCGGGUUGUAAAGUACUUUCAGCGGGGAGGAAGGUGUUGUGGUUAAUAACCACAGCAAUUGACGUUACCCGCAGAAGAAGCACCGGCUAACUCCGUGCCAGCAGCCGCGGUAAUACGGAGGGUGCAAGCGUUAAUCGGAAUUACUGGGCGUAAAGCGCACGCAGGCGGUCUGUCAAGUCGGAUGUGAAAUCCCCGGGCUCAACCUGGGAACUGCAUUCGAAACUGGCAGGCUUGAGUCUUGUAGAGGGGGGUAGAAUUCCAGGUGUAGCGGUGAAAUGCGUAGAGAUCUGGAGGAAUACCGGUGGCGAAGGCGGCCCCCUGGACAAAGACUGACGCUCAGGUGCGAAAGCGUGGGGAGCAAACAGGAUUAGAUACCCUGGUAGUCCACGCCGUAAACGAUGUCUACUUGGAGGUUGUGCCCUUGAGGCGUGGCUUCCGGAGCUAACGCGUUAAGUAGACCGCCUGGGGAGUACGGCCGCAAGGUUAAAACUCAAAUGAAUUGACGGGGGCCCGCACAAGCGGUGGAGCAUGUGGUUUAAUUCGAUGCAACGCGAAGAACCUUACCUGGUCUUGACAUCCACAGAACUUUCCAGAGAUGGAUUGGUGCCUUCGGGAACUGUGAGACAGGUGCUGCAUGGCUGUCGUCAGCUCGUGUUGUGAAAUGUUGGGUUAAGUCCCGCAACGAGCGCAACCCUUAUCCUUUGUUGCCAGCGGUCCGGCCGGGAACUCAAAGGAGACUGCCAGUGAUAAACUGGAGGAAGGUGGGGAUGACGUCAAGUCAUCAUGGCCCUUACGACCAGGGCUACACACGUGCUACAAUGGCGCAUACAAAGAGAAGCGACCUCGCGAGAGCAAGCGGACCUCAUAAAGUGCGUCGUAGUCCGGAUUGGAGUCUGCAACUCGACUCCAUGAAGUCGGAAUCGCUAGUAAUCGUGGAUCAGAAUGCCACGGUGAAUACGUUCCCGGGCCUUGUACACACCGCCCGUCACACCAUGGGAGUGGGUUGCAAAAGAAGUAGGUAGCUUAACCUUCGGGAGGGCGCUUACCACUUUGUGAUUCAUGACUGGGGUGAAGUCGUAACAAGGUAACCGUAGGGGAACCUGCGGUUGGAUCACCUCCUUACCUUAAAGAAGC